rnacentral:rRNA from 1 species
AUUGAACGCUGGCGGCAUGCCUUACACAUGCAAGUCGAACGGUAACGCGGGGCAACCUGGCGACGAGUGGCGAACGGGUGAGUAAUAUAUCGGAACGUGCCCAGUAGUGGGGGAUAGCCCGGCGAAAGCCGGAUUAAUACCGCAUGAGACCUGAGGGUGAAAGCGGGGGAUCGCAAGACCUCGCGCUAUUGGAGCGGCCGAUAUCAGAUUAGGUAGUUGGUGGGGUAAAGGCCUACCAAGCCGACGAUCUGUAGCUGGUCUGAGAGGACGACCAGCCACACUGGGACUGAGACACGGCUCAGACUCCUACGGGAGGCAGCAGUGGGGAAUUUUGGACAAUGGGCGCAAGCCUGAUCCAGCCAUGCCGCGUGCGGGAAGAAGGCCU